rnacentral:rRNA from 1 species
UACGUAGGGGGCGAGCGUUGUCCGGAUUUAUUGGGCGUAAAACGCUUGUAGGCGGCCACCGCGCGUCGGCUGUGAAAUCUCCCGGCUCAACUGGGAGGGGUCAGGCGAUACGGCGGGGCUCGAGGCAGGUAGGGGGAAGCGGAAUUCCCGGUGUAGUGGUGGAAUGCGUAGAUAUCAAGAGGAACACCUGAGGUGAAGACGGGUUGCUGGGCCAACACUGACGCUGAUGCGCGAAAGCCAGGGGAGCAAACGGG